GCCGGCGUAACUCAGGUGGUAGAGUAGCUGAUUCGUAAUCAGCAAGUCAGCAGUUCGAGUCUGCUCGCCGGCUCCA
rnacentral:tRNA from 2 species